UACGUAGGGUGCAAGCGUUAAUCGGAAUUACUGGGCGUAAAGCGUGCGCAGGCGGUUAUGCAAGACAGAUGUGAAAUGCCCGGGCUUAACCUGGGAACUGCAUUUGUGACUGCAAGGCUAGAGUUUGGCAGAGGGGGGUAGAAUUCCACGUGUAGCAGUGAAAUGCGUAGAUAUGUGGAGGAAUACCGAUGGCGAAGGCAGCCCCCUGGGUCAAGCACGUGAACGCUCAUGCACGAAAGCGUGGGGAGCAAACAGG
rnacentral:rRNA from 1 species